GAUUGUCAUCGGCAUAGACAUUCAACUUGGAUGUUUAUGCCGUUGACUGUCGUCGGCAUAACCAUUCAACUUGGAUGGUUAUGCCGUUGAAUGUCUUCGUCAUAACCAUUGGAUAUAUGUUUAUGAUUUUGGCAUAACAAUAAGAUAUUUAUGUCAAAACCAUUGGAUGUUUAUGCCGGGACAACCAUCCAACUUGGAUGGUGAUGCCGUUGACUGCCUUCGGCAUAACCAUUCAACUUUGAUGGUUAUGCCGUUGAAUGUCUCCGGCAUAACCAUUCAACUUGGAUGUUUAUGCCGUUGACUGUC